rnacentral:rRNA from 1 species
GACGUAGGGUCCAAGCGUUGUCCGGAGUUACUGGGCGUAAAGCGUGCGCAGGCGGUCUGUUAAGACCGAUGUGAAAUCCCCGGGCUUAACCUGGGAACUGCAUUGGUGACUGGCAGGCCUUGAGUGUGGCAGAGGGAGGUAGAAUUCCGACGUGUAGCAGUGAAAUGCGUAGAGAUGUGGAGGAAUACCGAUGGCGAAGGCAGCCUCCUGGGCCAACACUGACGCUCAUGCACGAAGCGUGGGGAGCAAACAGG